rnacentral:rRNA from 1 species
GAUGAACGCUGGCGGCGUGCCUAAUACAUGCAAGUCGAGCGAAUGGAUUAAGAGCUUGCUCUUAUGAAGUUAGCGGCGGACGGGUGAGUAACACGUGGGUAACCUGCCCAUAAGACUGGGAUAACUCCGGGAAACCGGGGCUAAUACCGGAUAACAUUUUGAACCGCAUGGUUCGAAAUUGAAAGGCGGCUUCGGCUGUCACUUAUGGAUGGACCCGCGUCGCAUUAGCUAGUUGGUGAGGUAAAGGCUCACCAAGGCAACGAUGCGUAGCCAACGUGAUAGGGUGAUCGGCCACACAGGGACUGAGACACCGCCGAGGCUCCUACGGGAGGCAGCAGUAGGGAAUAUUCCGCAAUGGAAGAAAGUCUGACGGAGCAACGCCGCGUGAGUGAUGAAGGCUUUCGGGUCGUAAAACUCUGUUGUUAGGGAAGAACAAGUGCUAGUUGAAUAAGCUGGCACCUUGACGGUACCUAACCAGAAAGCCACGGCUAACUACGUGCCAGCCGCCGCGGUAA